CCGUGACAAGCUGAAACUCUUCCACAAACCGAUCGGCAGCUCCUGGACUCUUCCUUCGUAUCAUCGGCAGACACCCUUGUCAUAGUCAUCGGCAAACUUCCUUGUCAUAGCCAUCGGCACAGACACAUCACCACCUAUAGACUUAGUCACGCUCAACCCCUCCUUCAUCGGCAACCAUCCUCAUCGGCAACUCAUCCUGUAGACAAAACACCGUCGUCUUAUCCUGCUGGCCUGGACAUGUGCCCAAAAAUGGUGUCAACACCAUGGGACUUGUAACCAUCACUUCUGUCUUCAGUAGUUAAAAGAUAGAACAGUCUAAUCAAGUGCCAUGUCUCUUAUUCUUGAUCAGCUAUAGCUGUGGAGUUUUUGUAGAUUUUCAAAUAAAACUCAGAGAUUCCUUGUAUGACUCUCUCAAAUCUCUCUUUUGUGGUAUUUUUGGAUCCUUACCAAGGCAGUGGUGGUAUAUGCCUUCUCUCAAAAAGUAUGUGGUAUUUGUGGUAUAAGGCACAGUGACAUUGCCUUCUCUCUCAUCCUACUCUAAUAAGGCUUUAAUAUCUGGAGCUCAUAGGUGGGAGAUAAAGUAUACAUACUUACAAGACAUUUAUUGUAUAGUCAAACCAUAGAUCCAAAGAAACAAAUCAAUAAGUCAAAUCAAGAUGUGCAUGUGUGGCGAAUGAAUGGUGUAUGGUGAUGAUGGUGAUAACAAUGGUGAAAGUCUAAUUCUACUUUUGCUCUCUUGAGGGGAUAUAUACCUUCCUUGCUUUCUGAAACAUUUUGAGGAAAAUGAGAUGCUCUCUCUUUUCUUUUUCAUUCCUCUCAGGUGGGUAUCUUGUACCCCUAAUUCUACUAUUGGACACUUGUCCAUUUUUACCUCUCGUCUCACUUUUUCUUUUCUUUCGAGGUUCCGGGCACUUGCCCCUUUUUAUUUCCUCGUACACUUUUUUUUCUUUUUUUUCUUCUUUAUUUUUUUCAUAGAGCACUCAUCUCUUGAUAUAAUAUAGCAAGUGGUAGUAACAAGAUAACUUGAGCAUUUAUUUCACAGGAAAAAAACAGAAAUAUUUUUGGCUAUUCUCUUCCGGAUUAGGAGUAGAAUUUUUGGGUGGUUCUGGAGAUGGAAAUGGAUGGAUAUAUGUGGAUGGUACUUCUAGAAUAGAAGUAGCAUGUGUGAGUGAACGUGCAAGUGAAUCUUGAUUUAACCACAUGACAAGCUCCUAAGGGUCUACACAGCUUGACCACACUCAAUGCUCAUAAGCAGUAAAUAGUAAAUGUGUGGCUCAAAGUCUAGCAAGCAUGUAUAUAUGGCUGUGGUAGGAAUUUAAACUCUCAUCAUAUAGGAACUCAUCAUGCAAUAUUUUAAAGAUUUUCAAAGACAAAAUUCUCCAGAAUUCUAGCAUCUCUAGGAACAGAUAAACAGCAGCUCAACCUUCCCAUAUCAUAUCCGUUAAUAACUUAGACUUCAGAUCAAGUUUUCAUCCCACAAGUUUAGGUCUAGAGCAAGCUUUAAAUUAUAACAGUUAUAUCUAAACUUGAGAGAGAACUUAAAAUGUACAAAUUAGGCAGAAGCAACUAUUCAUCAUAUCCAUGCUAGUGUUUUAUUUAGAUACAGAUUAGCAUAGCCACUUUAUUUAUUUAUUAAACACACUAAGCAAAAGAUAUAUAUAAGCAUAAAAUCUUUAUUUGGUUUUUCAUAGUUAUAUUUUAAUAUAAUAUAAGUAUAAAGAUAGAUAGAUAGAAAUACUUAUCGGGAUAAAUGGGGGUGCUCUCCCCCAAGCUGAAUUUUGACGUAAUUUCUCUCGAUGUAGCUAGCAGGUGGCAGAGGUGUAUUUGAAAGUCAGCAGCAUUCUGACAGCGAUUAGAAUGUCCUCCGUCUGCUAGUCUUCUUGAUUCUUAAAUUCUGUGGAGCUCAAAUAGACAACAAAGAUUGUGGAACUGAUUAAGUGUUACCAUGAAUAUCUAGCCUUUAUCAUGUUGAGACUCCUUAAUAAUUAUUGCUCACAAUUUUUUUUAUAUUUUCAUUUUAUAAAGUAGAAAAGAAAUAUUUAUUUUAUUUUUAUGCCACCACAGUGAAUGUACUUAUGGGUUUUAUGCCACUCGUAUACUCACACGGGGCUUAUUGUUUUCACAUUUUUAUUUUCUUUUUAAGAUUGUAUGAACAUAUUUAACUAAGUAAACUAUUUGAAAUAAUUGAAAGGGAAAGGAUAACUACCAAGUUUACCUCUUGGCAAGGCGUUCGGUGUUUUUAAGUCCUCCCAAUAGGACUCUCCAUUUUCUCAAUUGUCCUGGGAUUCGUUGGGUGGCGUAGUCGGUACUUCUGGCGGCGCCUCCUCUUCGUGUAUAGUUAUCUUCCCUUUCCAUACCUGACUCGGUGCUACGGUCUCCUCUGGAUAAUUUUGUUUAAACUGUAUGUCUUCUGACCUUACCACUUCUCCUUCAUAGUCCCCAUCCGUCCUUGAUGAUUUGCCUCCUCUGGUUGCGGUUGCGUCGUUUUCUUACCUACUUCGAUUCUUCAAAGAUGUAGUUAGGCUCAGUAAAAUAACGGCGUACCUUCUCUAAGGGGAAGUGCGUAUGGACUUCUGCGGUUCCAAUGUAGAUGAUUGCUUUAACGGUGCUGAGGAAUGGUCUUCCAAGGAUGAUUGGUGGAUCGUACUCAUCUUCUCCCAUGUCUGAUCUGCCACCUGGAGCUGAAUGUAUGUUGGUUUCAGGGGCAUGGUUCCGAACAAGAGCCGAUAGGUGACUGCGGCCAUUUUGUUGACGCCCGAUCCGGUGUCGCAAGUCGUCUUGUAGAAGUUGUAUCCAUUUAUUGAGCAAUAGAUGCUUGGCAUUCCUGGGUCGUCCUUCUUGGUCAAAAAUGGUGACUUAAGUUGAUGAUCUUGACCUCUGUUGACGGUCCUUAAAUAUCAAAUUUAAUUAUCAAAUAAAUAAAGAAAAGGAUCCAAAUGCAACCAACACCUAGACUUAGGGUUUUAUCUGACAGAAUUCCAUGAGUUUUGGUGUUUGUCUAUUUCUGCAGGGGGUUAUCAGUAAAUAUGGAAGAAAGGCCCACAUGUCGGGAUUACAUAGAGAUAUUAACGUGCCGCGCAAUUUUCUAUCAUCUAGAAGACUCCAGAAGCCACGGGAACGAACGGGAGGCCGAACGGGCCCGGGAGCAGGGCGCCCGCCCUCUCCCCUUGGGUGCCCGCCCAGGUGUUUCCACCAAUCACAGAAUGGAGUACACCAUUGCAAAGAUCUCGUCGAGCUGAUCGAAAUGCAUAUAUUACUUGCUAUAUUUGGGGUUCGGAAUCAAGAGAUAUUAAUAAAAGAAGGACUCCAUAUAAAAGAGCUGCGGGAUUAAUUGGGCCCAAAUCAGAUUUUGGUCCAUUAAGGCCUAUGUGCAUUUUAAUGAGAUAUGGUGGAAAGUUUAGUACCACAUCGCCUGCUGAACCAAAAACGCAUAGAGGAGGAGGACUAUAUAAGGAGACCCCCUGGCCUCUGGAGAAGACAAUAAAUUAUCAUAGAGAUUGAGGGGUGCCCUCGAAGGAAAACCUCUUCUCUAAAUAAUAUUUCUUUUUAGGCUUAGCAACCAAUGUAAGGUAGAAAUAGAUCUUCUAGUUUCUACUAGAUUGAGAGAGAUAGAGUGGAGGUGUGGAUCGGAGGAAGGCCGGCCUGUCGGUGUCUACUCCGAGUUGUACCUGCGGGAUCAAGUCUCCUAACCCGAGGCUUGCUUCUAAGAUUCUUCAGUAAUUCGACUUCUAAUUCUAGUAAGUUCUUGUUUUAUUUUUCUUUGGUUUAUGAGUUUACUUUAAUCCUCUUCCGGUUGAGUAUUAGAGUAAUCACUUGCUAGCGUAAACGUGCUGUUUAGGCUAGGGUACUCAUAGAUAUCCCCUGACUAGCUGGACCGUGGUAGUAGCGAGGAACGUGACAUUUCCGAGUUACCUUUGCAGAUCACAUCUCGUUAGCAGGACGGGUAGGUUUAUAGGUGCGGGUCGAACAUCCUUUGUGUUGUCUAGGUUCCGUGAGCCUGCCCAAUAGAACAGUAGAUCAUCCUUAUUAAGGUUAGAACGAGACUACGGUUGCAGUCUUCUCUGUAUAUCGCUCACAUCGAGAAACAUUCUUUGUAGCCUAAAGGGAUAGUAGCAAUAGAUUUGGUUAGUCAGAUGCACCCUUUCUCCCAGUGGUAAAAAUAUAAAUACGAUAACUCUGAAUAACCUCCCGGGUGAAAUGCUCACCGAUAUCCGUGCGCUUGCGGAUCAUUUUCUAAUUGCGUUACCAAAUAUCAACAAGCGUUACCAAAUAUCAACAAGCAUUUCUGGCGCCGUUGCCGGGGAGAAAGACGGUUUGCUGAGAUAACUUUGAGUCUUGCUAUUAUCUGAAGACAUAUAGCUUGAACAGAACUGUCCUGAGGAGACUGUAGCACCGAGUCAAAGAGAGAAGAUAGUUAUACAUGAAGAGAAGGCGCCACCGGAACCACCGACUACGCCAUCCAGCAAAUCCCAAGACAACUGAGAAAAUGGAGAGUCCCGUUCGGAGGACUUAAAAAUACCGAACGCCUUGCCAAGAGGUAAACUUGGUAGUUAUCCUUUUCCAUUCAAUAGUUUGCUUAGUUAAUCAGGUUCAUGCUAUCUUGAAAAGAAAAUAAAAAUAUUAAAAAAUAGUAAGCCCCAUGUGAGUAUGCUCAUGGCAUAAAACCCAUAAGUACAAUCACUGUGGUGGUAUAAAAAUAAAAUAAAUAAAUUUUCAUCUUAUAAUAAAAAUAUAAAAAUAAUAAGUGCAUGAUCCUGCUAAAUAAGUAAUAUUUAUUGACGAGGCUCAACAUGAUAAAGGCUAGAUAUUUAUGCUAACAAUUAACCAGUUCCACAAAGCUUUGUUGUCUAUUUGAGCUCCACAGAACUCAAGGAUCAAAGAAGACUAGCAGACGGAGGACAUCCUAAUUGCUGUCAGGGUGCUGCCGACUUUCAAAUACACCUCCACCACCUGCUAGCUACAUCAAAAGAAAUUACGUCAAAAUCUAGCUUGGGGGAGAGCGCCCCCAUUUAUCCAGCUAAGUGUUUCUACUCGUAUUUAUACUUUACUCAAAUAAUAAUAAAUGCAUAAUCAUGAAAACCCAAAUAAAUAUUUUGUGUUUAUAUAUAUAUAUAUAUAUAUAUAUAUAUAUAUAUCUUAGUUUAGUUUGCUAAAUAAAUAAAUAAAGUUUGCUAUGAACCCUCAUAAUAAGCUCUCACAUGGAAAUAAUGAAUAGUUGCUCUGCCAUGACUAGUUCUUAAAAUUGAAAUCUCUCUCAAGUUUAGGCAUAACUGUUAUGAAUUAAGAUUUGCUCUAAACCUAAACUUGUGGGAAGAGUACUUGAUCUAAAGUCUAAGUCGUUAACGGAUAUGAUAUGGGAAGGUUGAGCUGUUGUUUAUCUGUUCCUAGAGAUGCUAGAAUUCUGGAGAAUUUUAUCUUUGAAAAAUCUUUAAAAUAUCACAUGAUGAGUUCCUGUAUGAUGAGAGUUUAAAAUCCUACCACAGCCAUAUAUACAUGCUUGCUAGACUUUGAGCCACACAUUUACUUUUUUACUGCUUAUGAGCAUUGAGUGUGGUCAAGCUGUGUAGACCCUUAGGAGCUUGUCAUGUGGUUAAAAUCAAGAUUCACUUGCACGUUCACUCAUACAUGCUACUUCUACUCCAGAAGUACCAUCCACAUAUAUCCACUCAUUUCCAUCUUUAGAUUCACCCAAAAUUAUUCUACUCCUAAUCCGGGAGAGAAUAGCCAAAAAUAUUAUCCUAUCCCUGUUAUUCCCAGUGAAAUAAAUGCUCGAGUUAUCUUGGUUACUACCACUUGCUAUAUUAUUUCAGGAGAUGAGUGCUCUAGAAAAAAAAAGAAAAAAAUAUGAGGAAAUAAAAAGGGGCAAGUGCCCGGAACCUCGAAAAAAAAAUGAGACCAGAGGUAAAAAUGGACAAGUGUCCGACAGUAGAAUUAGGGGUACAAGAUACCCACCUGAGAGGAAAGAAAAAGAAAAUAUAGAGCAUCUCAUUCUCUCUAAAAAGCUUCAAAGUGCAAGAAAGGAAUGUAUCCCCUCAAAAGAGCAAAAGUAGAAUUAGACUUUCACCAUUAUUAUCAUCAUCAUCACCAUACACCAUUCAUUCGCCACACAUGCACAUCUUGAUUUGACUUAUUGACUUGUUUCUCUGGAUCCAUGGUUUGACUAUGCAAUAAAUGUCUUGUAAGUAUGUAUUAGCUGUCUCCCGCCUAUGAGCUCCAGAUAUCAGAACCUUAUUAGAGUAGGGUGAGAGAGAAGGCAAUAUCACUAUGCCUCAUACCACAAAUACCACAUACUUUGAGAGAAGGCAUAUCCCAUUACUGCCUUGGUAAGGAUCCAGAAAUACCACAAAAGAGAGAUCUGAGAGAGUCAUACAAGGAAUCUCUGAGUUUUAUUUGAAAAUUUGCAAAAAAACUCCAAGAGCUAUAGCUGAUCAAGAAAAAGGGACAUGGCGCUUGACUUGACCGUUCUAUCUUUUAACUGCUCAAGACACAAGUAACGGUUACAAGCCCCAUGGUGAAAGGUAAAAUGAGUAAGUUUUAAGUCUUAACAGUUUAUUCUAACUCAGAGAUGAGAUCAAGCUUGAAUGCGUGUGUACUUUUAAGGCAUGAAACUACUGCAGAAACUCUUGAGUUCAUCCUUGCUCAGGGACGAGCAAGAGGUAAGCUUGGGGGAGUUUGUUGACGGUCCUUAAAUAUCAAAUUUAAUUAUCAAAUAAAUAAAGAAAAGGAUCCAAAUGCAACCAACACCUAGACUUAGGGUUUUAUCUGACAGAAUUCCAUGAGUUUUGGUGUUUGUCUAUUUCUGCAGGGGGUUAUCAGGAAAUAUGGAAGAAAGGCACACAUGUCGGGAUUACAUAGAGAUAUUAAUGUGCCGCGCAAUUUUCUAUCAUCUAGAAGACUCCAGAAGCCACGGGAACGAACGGGAGGCCGAACGGGCCCGAGGGUAGGGCGCCCGCCCUCUCCCCUUGGGCGCCCGCCCAGGUGUUUCCACCAAUCACAGAAUGGAGUACACCAUUGCAAAGAUCUCGUCGAGCUGAUCGAAAUGCAUAUAUUACUUGCUAUAUUUAGAGUUUGGAAUCAAGAGAUAUUAAUAAAAGAAGGACUCCAUAUAAAAGAGCUGCGGGAUUAAUUGGGCCCAAAUCAGAUUUUGGUCCAUUAAGGCCUAUGUGCAUUUUAAUGAGAUAUGGUGGAAAGUUUAGUACCACAUCGCCUACUGAACCAAAAACGCAUAGAGGAGGAGGACUAUAUAAGGAGACCCCCUGGCCUCUGGAGAAGACAAUAAAUUAUCAUAGAGAUUGAGGGGUGCCCUCGAAGGAAAACCUCUUCUCUAAAUAAUAUUUCUUUUUAGGCUUAGCAACCAAUGUAAGGUAGAAAUAGAUCUUCUAGUUUCUACUAGAUUGAGAGAGAUAGAGUGGAGGUGUGGAUCGGAGGAAGGCCGGCCUAUCGGUGUCUACUCCGAGUUGUACCUGC
rnacentral:lncRNA from 1 species